UGGGGCCUUGGCACCUGGCCCUGCCUGCUCUGUGAGCUGCUGGGUCCAGGAACACCAGGCAGGUCCCCACCUGUGGGCUGGUCCCCUCAACUUCUCAAUGAGCCCAUAGCACCCAUUGUAUUGUCCCUGGGAUUCUCACAGCAUCCUCAUCCUCAUUCCCUGUAUCCUGGCCUGCCCCACAUUCACCUCUAGGACUCAGGACAUUACCAACCCAUGCUCCCCACAGAGACCAGGUGCUGCUAGAAAGAGAGGCCUGCCCCGGGGUACAGCUCCACAUCUCUCUGGCUGCCCUCACUCUGCCAGCCACCACACCUGCUGCUUGCCUGAGCCUGGGGAGGGAGGGGCAGUGGGGCAAGGCCCGAGACAGGCAGGGUGGCUGCCAAAGCAGCAGGCAUCCUUCUGCCACCUGUUUCUCCUUGAAUCUGCCAUUUCCAGGGAUGUUCUGUUCAUCGGAAGGGCUACCCCAGCCCUCGGGGCUCUGCCAUUCUGCCCACUACUGCACAGGGGGGGCUGUGUCCCCCACCCCCAUCAAACACAAGCCAUUGUCAUCUUGGGUUUGACGCGCGAAGUGUUCACUCUGCAUGUCCGUGGGAAUUUAGGAGUCCUCACAGCUGGGACGAGGCUGCAGAGUCACCCCAUCUUAGAUAUGAGGAGACCCGGAGCAUGGGGUCAUCGGCUUGCUCAAGGCCGUGUGGGGCGUUUUCCUGGGUCGUGCAGCUUCUCUGCGGAUGGUCAGCAUGCCCAGAAAUCAAAGAAUAAGGCACCUUGUCUUGUGGGGGGCGGUUAGGGAGGGGGAGGCUGGAACCUCGAAGGUUCAGAGCCUGGGAGUCUGGGUCCUGUGUGCAGGAUGACCUGCCCCACCCGCUCCAGGGCCCUGAGAACAGAGCCAGUUUGGAGAUGGGAGCCAUCCUUGUUCCAGAAAAUGCCAGAGGCAUCUGUGUGUUGAAUCAUCAUAUCCUAGAGUAGUGGAGAGUAGCUGGGAGGAUGAACAUACAGACAAGGGCUAGGCAGAUGGAUGGAGAGACACUGGCCAGUGUUUGUUGAUUGACUGACUCUCAUCUUGUUACUGACUUGCUCUGUGACCUGAGGCAGGCAUGGCCCUUUCCCCUCUGGGCCCAGCCUCCCUUUAGACUGCUCUUUCUUCUGAGAAUUCCAUAUCAAUGCCACAGAGGAGAGAAAAAGCCAGGAGAUGACGGAAGGAGGGAAAGGAGGUCACUGAGUCAGCAUUAGGAUUUCAGAAGCCAAAGCCCUCCCAUGGGGUCCUCCCAGCUCAUCCUCCACAGGCCUCAGAGACACAGCCAAAACACACAUUAGUGAGGUGGUUUUACAUGUACUAUUUUCCUUUAGAGACAGGGUCUCACUCUGUUGCCCAGGCUGAAGUGCAGUGGCACAAUCACAGCUUGCCACAGCCUCGACCUCCUGGGCUCAAGCAAUCCUUCUGCCUCAGCCUCCCAAAUAACAGAGUACACACGUGCGCUGUCACACUCAGCUAACUUUUGUAACUUUUUUUUUUUUUUUUUUGAGACUGAGUGUCCCUCUGUCGCCCACGCUGGAGUGCAGUGGCGUGAUCUUGGCUCAUUGAAAGCUCCGCCUCCCGGGUUCACGCCAUUCUCCUGCCUCAGCCUCCUGCUGGGACUACAGGCGCCCGCCACCACGCCCAGCUAAUUUUGUGUGUGUAUGUGUGUAUUUUUAGUAGAGACGGGGUUUCAUCAUGUUAACCAGGAUGGUCUCUAUCUCCUGAACUCGUGAUCCACCUGCCUCAGCCUCCCAAAGGGCUGGGAUUACAGGCGUGAGCCACCACGCCCAGCCUUGUUUUUUAAACUUUAAGUUCUAGGGUACGUGUGCACAACGUGCAGGUUUGUUACAUAUGUAUACAUGUGCCAUGUUGGUGUGCUACACCCAUCAACUCAUCAUUUACAUUAGGUAUUUCUCCUAAUGCUAUCCCUCCCCCAGCCCCCACUCCCCAAUAGGCCCUGGUGUGUGAUGUUCCCCUCCCUGUAUCCAUGUGUUCUUGUUGUUCAGCUCCCACCUAUGAGUGAGAACAUGUGGUGUUUGGUUUUCUGUCCUUGUGAUAGUUUGCUGAGAAUGAUGCUUUCCUGCUCCAUCCAUGUCCCUGCAAAGGACACAAACUCAUCCUUUUUUAUAGCUGCAUAGUAUUCCAUUGUGUAUAUAUGCCAUCUUUUCUUAAUUCAGUCUAUCAUUG
rnacentral:lncRNA from 1 species